rnacentral:rRNA from 1 species
AACGAACGCUGGCGGCAGGCCUAACACAUGCAAGUCGAACGCCCCUUUCGGGGGGAGUGGCGCACGGGUGAGUAACGCGUGGGAAUCUGCCCUUUGGUCUGGAAUAACCCUGGGAAACUAGGGCUAAAACCGGAUAAGCCCCGCGAGGGGGAAAGUUUACGCCGAAGGAGGAGCCCGCGUCCGAUUAGCUAGUUGGUGAGGUAAGAGCUCACCAAGGCAACGAUCGGUAGCUGGUCUGAGAGGACGAUCAGCCACACUGGGACUGAGACACGGCCCAGACUCCUACGGGAGGCAGCAGUGGGGAAUAUUGGACAAUGGGCGCCAGCCUGAUCCAGCCAUGCCGCGUGAGUGAUGAAGGCCUUCGGGUUGUAGAGCUCUUUUGGCGGGGACGAUGAUGACGGUACCCGCAGAAUAAGCCCCGGCAAACUUCGUGCCAGCCGCCGCGGUAACAC